CUAAUUUAGGUAAGCGAAAAGGAGAAAGAGAAACCCUACGAAUCGUGAAGCUAAAACCCUUGUGGCAUUCGCAAGAUCUCUUCGUGUGAUUCUCAGAGAAAUGGCAUGGCGUGGUUCGAUCUCCAGGACAUUGAUGUCCGCCACAAGAAAUUCAUCUUUCCGCUCUACUCCGCCGCCCCUCCCUCGCCUCCGUCCUCCUCAGGUUUCCGCUCCCCGCGUCCACUCCAGCCGCCUCCGUAACCCUAGGACCUUGGGAGAAUUAGGAUGUGCUCAAUCUCUGAUGCCGAUGGUUGCCGGAGCUCGGCUGACGUCUCACCUCACUGUCAAUGUGCGCGCGUUCUGCGAGCUGUCUCAUGGUACCUUCUGCCGCUCUUGUCAGGAUCGCUAGUAGAUUGAAUGGAAAAGAUGGGUGAUUUCAAGCAAUUUCAAGCAUCAAAAGGCACUACAGACAUACAACAUUGUACUUGAGUGGUGAUUGGUUAAGCAAAGCUUUUUAAGAGGCAUUGAUAGUAAGUGGAUUCAUUGGAUGGAGCAGUUUUUGUGUUUGGAAUUGGAACAUUUAAUAAGAUUUAGAUGUUUUUACAUCUUUUUUCACCCUUUGGGCAACCUAAGGAUUGGUUUUUUUGAGACAUUUCAUGUAUAUUAUUUUAGUUAAUGUUCAUUUAUAUUUGGAUUUUUAAA